rnacentral:rRNA from 1 species
CAGCAGCCGCGGUAAUACGUAGGGUGCAAGCGUUAAUCGGAAUUACUGGGCGUAAAGCGUGCGCAGGCGGUUAUAUAAGACAGAUGUGAAAUCCCCGGGCUCAACCUGGGAACUGCAUUUGUGACUGUAUAGCUAGAGUACGGCAGAGGGGGAUGGAAUUCCGCGUGUAGCAGUGAAAUGCGUAGAUAUGCGGAGGAACACCGAUGGCGAAGGCAAUCCCCUGGGCCUGUACUGACGCUUAUGCACGAAAGCGUGGGGAGCAAACAGGAUUAGAUACCCCCGUAGUCCCUGUCUCUUAUAC